CAGCUAGUUGGUGGGGUAAUGGCCUACCAAGGCGACAAUCCGUAGCUGGUCUGAGAGGACGACCAGCCACACCGGAACUGAGACACGGUCCGGACUCCUACGGGAGGCAGCAGUGGGGAAUAUUGGACAAUGGGGGAAACCCUGAUCCAGCGACGCCGCGUGUGUGAAGAAGGCCUGCGGGUUGUAAAGCACUUUUAGUGGGGACAAAAAGCUACGGAUUAAUACUCUGUGGUCUUGAUUUAACCCAAAGAAAAAGCACCGGCUAACUCUGUGCCAGCAGCCGCGGUAAUACAGAGGGUGCGAGCGUUAAUCGGAAUUACUGGGCGUAAAGCGCGCGUAGACGGUUUUGUAAGUCAGAUGUGAAAUCCCUGGGCUCAACCUGGGAACUGCAUUUGAAACUGCAUGGCUAGAGUAUCGAAGAGGGAAGUGGAAUUUCCGGUGUAGCGGUGAAAUGCGUAGAUAUCGGAAGGAACACCAGUGGCGAAAGCGACUUCCUGGUCGAAUACUGACGUUCAUGUGCGAAAGCGUGGGGAGCAAACAGGAUUAGAUACCCUGGUAGUCCACGCCAUAAACGAUGACAACUAGAUGUUGGGAGGGUCUGCCUCUCGGUGUC
rnacentral:rRNA from 1 species